UGGGGAAUCUUGCACAAUGGGGGCAACCCUGAUGCAGCGACGCCGCGUGAGCGAUGAAGGUUUUCGAAUCGUAAAGCUCUGUCCUAUGGAAAGAUAAUGACGGUACCAUAGGAGGAAGCCCCGGCUAACUACGUGCCAGCAGCCGCGGUAAUACGUAGGGGGCGAGCGUUGUCCGGAAUUACUGGGCGUAAAGGGUUCGCAGGCGGCAUGGCAAGUCCGAUGUAAAAGGCGAAGGCUCAACCUUCGUAAGCAUCGGAAACUGUCAAGCUUGAGUGAAGGAGAGGCAAGUGGAAUUCCUAGUGUAGCGGUGGAAUGCGUAGAUAUUAGGAGGAAUACCGGUGGCGAAGGCGACUUGCUGGACUUCAACUGACGCUGAGGAACGAAAGCGUGGGUAGCAAACAGG
rnacentral:rRNA from 1 species